AUGAAUUUACUAAAAGAAAGGCCAGAAAGCAGUUUUUCUGAGGCAAGAGAGGAGACCAAUAAGAGGAAACAAAAAGAUGAGGAAGGAUCCAGGAGUCAAGAUGAAGAAGGAGACAGGAGACAAGACGAGGAAGGAGACAGUAGACAAGAGGAGGAAGGAGACAGGAGACAAGAGGAGGAAGGAGACAGGAGAAGAGAAGAGGAAGGAGACAGGAGACAAGAGGAGGAAGGACAAAGGAGAGUUUCGGGUUCCGGUCAGAAAAAAAUAAAUAAAAUGAAUUUGAUCAAUCGUAGAGUAACAGGUUGUCAUUUACAAUUUACAUUUAAGAAGUCACAAAGGGUCAGAAAUCCCAGUGUAGCAGAAGGAUUUUCUUUGAGAUCAGUGAGUUCACGAUGAACGCGUUCCCUCCAGUGUGCUCGUUCUGUUAAAUCCUCCAAUAACACAGAACAGCCAUGAUAUGUUAGAUUCCCGUCGGUCACAGGUGUCUUUUCUUGGUUUUAGCACCAAUUAUGCGAAAAAGCUGUUUUUCCACCCACAUAAUGACAUACUUGAGACGACUCUUGUCGUGAUUGGCGCUAUAUAAAUAAACCUGAAUAGAUUUGAAUAGAAUGUGUGGAUGAGGAACAGGCGUGGAGUACUCCAGUUCUACCUCUAGAUACUGCUCCUAUGCAUGGUCAGAGCUGCAACAUUUUCACGCACAAGUACAAACUGGGAAAUACCACACAAUGCGUAAAAUCAUUCCCACACAUGAAAUACACACAGAUCUGUUUGUAAGUAUGGUUGAUAAAUGAGGGCCCUGGAUUCUAACCGGGAACCCAGCGAUUACAGGGCAAAGUCCUAACCCUUAGCCACUGUCGUCCUAAGAUUCAACCAUUUUCAAAUAGCAUUUUCUGUGUAUUUGUCCCUCCCAGCAUUCAUGAGACGUUCUAGAAGAUUCAGGCCAUGUUAGAAGUAUUUCUGAACAUGCUGGAACAUCCAGGUUAUCAUGCGUUUCCAGAGAAAGUGGUUGAGGGAAAUAAUGUGUGCACAUCCUUGUCCCUUCUUUGCUGCAAUCCUCUGUCCUUGGUUACUCUUCAUCUUUGUCCGAUUCAAGGAACUGGGUGUCAUUAAAGCCUCAGCCAGAUGUUUUAUCGUGUCGUGUGGUAAAAACUUUGAUAUUAAAAG
rnacentral:lncRNA from 1 species